AUGAACGCUGGCGGCGUGCCUAAUACCUGCAAGUCGAGCGAACGGACGAGAAGCUUGCUUCUCUGAUGUUAGCGGCGGACGGGUGAGUAACACGUGGAUAACCUACCUAUAAGACUGGGAUAACUUCGGGAAACCGGAGCUAAUACCGGAUAAUAUUUUGAACCGCAUGGUUCAAAAGUGAAAGACGGUCUUGCUGUCACUUAUAGAUGGAUCCGCGCUGCAUUAGCUAGUUGGUAAGGUAACGGCUUACCAAGGCAACGAUGCAUAGCCGACCUGAGAGGGUGAUCGGCCACACGGGAACUGAGACACGGUCCAGACUCCUACGGGAGGCAGCAGUAGGGAAUCUUCCGCAAUGGGCGAGAGCCUGACGGAGCAACGCCGCGUGAGUGAUGAAGGUCUUCGGAUCGUAAAACUCUGUUAUUAGGGAAGAACAUAUGUGUAAGUAACUGUGCACAUCUUGACGGUACCUAAUCAGAAAGCCACGGCUAACUACGUG
rnacentral:rRNA from 1 species